CAGCCGCCGCGGGAAUACGUAGGGUGCAAGCGUUAAUCGGAAUUACUGGGCGUAAAGCGUGCGCAGGCGGUUUGUUAAGACAGAUGUGAAAUCCCCGGGCUCAACCUGGGAACUGCAUUUGUGACUGGCAAGCUAGAGUCUGGCAGAGGGGGGUGGAAUUCCGCGUGUAGCAGUGAAAUGCGUAGAUAUGCGGAGGAACACCGAUGGCGAAGGCAGCCCCCUGGGCCAACACUGACGCUCAUGCACGAAAGCGUGGGGAGCAAACAGGAUUAGAUACCCCUGUAGUCCCUGUCUCUUAUAC
rnacentral:rRNA from 1 species